AUGACACGCUGGCAGAGUGCCUGAAUGCUUACGGGCAGGAGCUUCACGGGGCGGCCUACACCUCCAGUGCCGACCUCCAAAGGGAUGUUCAACAUGCAGUCCUCUGUCAAGCUCAAGCAGAGUCCUUCCCCGAUGAGCUGAGACUUCUGAAGUCUGGGAAACCUAUAUCGUCUACAAGCAGACUGAUCACACUCUCCCCGGAGCUUGAUGCUGCUACUGGACUUAUUCGAGUAGGAGGCCGUCUACGCCGCUGUGAGGUACUGGAAGAGGAUGCAGUACAUCCAGCUGUUCUCGACCCUCGACAUCCAAUCAUAGCGCUAAUCAUGAAGGAUUAUGAUGAGAGGCUACAUCAUCCAGGUACAGAGCGGUUGUUUGCAGAAAUCAGAAGGACGUACUGGAUAUUACGAGGUCGUGAAGCUGUCCGGCGACACCAGCGCCAGUGUAGAGAGUGUAGGAAGUGGAGAGGACGCCCAGAAGUCCCUCUCAUGGCUGACCUGCCUCUCACCAGACAGAGAUACUUCCGUCCAGCUUUCUACUCGACUGGCAUGGACUGUUUCGGCCCCUUCCUCAUUAAGAUCGGCCGACGUAACGAGAAGAGGUGGGGCAUAGUCUUUAAGUGCCUGACCACAAGGGCAACCCAUCUUGAUCUUCUCAGCAGAAUUGAUUCUGACUCUUUCCUGAUGGCUCUACGACGGUUCAUCGCCAGACGAGGCAAACCGUACGAGUUAUUGUGCGACCAAGGCACCAACUUUAAAGGAGGAGAACGCAAACUGAAUGAUGCCUUCGCCACCCUCCAAGAUGAACUACAAAGUCACCUUGCCAAUCAGCAGAUCAAGUUCACCUACAACCCACCAAGCGCCCCUCACUUCGGCAGUUGCUGGGAGAAGGAGAUCCGCUCUAUCACGGCAGCUCUCAGAGUGACUAUCGGAGCCCAGACUGUUACUGUGGAAGUGUUGAGGACAGUCCUAAUUGAGGUGGAAGGUAUCCUCAAUUCAAAGCCUCUUGGGUAUACCUCCUCUGACGUUGCUGACCUCGACCCGAUCACCCCAUAUUGCUUCCUGAUUGGCCGUCGAGACGCAUCAUUACCUCAAGUCCUCUACCAGGAGUCAGAGAUGCUGAGUCGACGACGCUGGCGCCAUAGUCAACUGCUUGCGGAGCACUUCUGGAGACAUUUUUUGAAGUAUUACUUACCAGAUCUCCAAGCCCGCCAGAAGUGGAAGACUGAAAAAAAGCCAUUGGAAAUCGGAGAUGUAGUCUUGAUUGUUGAUCCCCAACUUCCUCGCGCUCUCUGGCCUGUAGGCAGAGUCACUCAGGUGUUCCCCGG
rnacentral:lncRNA from 1 species